rnacentral:rRNA from 1 species
GAUUAACGCUAGCGGCAGGCAUAAUACAUGCAAGUUGAACGAGAUAAGUUUUAGCAAUAGAACUUUGAAAGUGGCGCACGGGUGCGUAACACGUAUGCAACCUACCUUUUACUGGGGAAUAGCCUCACGAAAGAGAGAAUAAUACCCCAUAAUAUAUUGAUAAGGCAUGUUAUUAAUAUUAAAGUUACGGAGGUAAAAGCUGGGCAUGCGGCGGAUUAGGUAGUUGGUGAGGUAAUGGCUCACCAAGCCGACGAUCAGGAGGGGGUCUGAGAGGAUGUCCCCCCACACUGGUACUGAGACACGGACCAGACUCCUACGGGGGGCAGCAGUAGUUAAGAUUGUGCAAUGGACGCAAGCCUGAUCCAGCCAUGCCUCGGGCAGGAUGAAGGCCCUAUGGGUCGUAAACUGCUUUUGUACGGGAAGAAACCUCUCUACGUGUAGUGAGUUGACGGUACCGUGAGAAUAAGGAUCGGCUAACUUCGUGCCAGCAGCCGCAGUAA